CAGACUUUCAAAAGCCGGGGGAGGAGGAGGUUGAGGUGGGCAGGCUUAGGUGUGGUUGACGUGCAGAAUGGCUUGUGUGUGUGUGUGAAGCAAUCCUGUGCAUGUUUCCUCGGGAGUAAGUCCCACCUUACGUAAGUCCCAGAGGAUCAUUGCAGCAGCCGAACUUCUCUUUCCGGCGUAGAUACAAACGAGGGCUAGAGAAUCCUAUACAGUGUGCUGUGCACGCCCACUGCUUGUGUCAAUCUCACUGGGCUCGGGUCGGUGGCGGGACCUCUUCGAUUAAACGUGCAUAAGAUGGCGCUGCUGUAAGGAAUACCUGGGAAUCCUAUAGGAGGGCUUCAAGUGUUUGAGGAGAACGGGACAGCGUUCGCAUUCCCAAGAAGCAGGAAUAGUGUAUUUCUGGAAGCCGGGUAGUGGGGAGGUGCUGUUUGUGUGAGACGGCUUAACAGAGUAGGUGUUGGGAUUGAAAAGUUUCCUCCCCAAAGGCAGCGGCAGGGAAUCGGAAUGGCGGGGGAGGGAGGGGUGACUUUGAUGGCGUAACCCCUGAAAAGGUCAAGCUGACGCUCUCUUAGCCCAAAGGCAAGAGAAAAACUCUCCGGCGAGUCGCGAGACCAGAUCAGACCACGCAGCCGCACAAGCGGAAGCCAAACAACCUCCCAGCCGCGCGGGAAGGGCUCUGACGCCAGGCAGCCGUGAAGCUCCGCGCUUGCCUUGCAGACGGCGCGCGCCUGGCUCCGCCUCGAGUCAACUUCUCUUUGCAAAGCGGCUUUUCCUCCAAGCAUGGAGCCGGCAGCCGCGCUCUGCCUUACCUGGUUCUCGGCUUACCAGGUGCCUAGGCCCGACUGCACACACAGUGCAACAACAAUCCCCGCGGCUUUGGGUUGUGCAGCAGUUUCCUCUGUUUCUAGUUUCUUUCGAUGACCCCGUCGCAACCCUCUGGGGAGAAAACAGGAAGCGGGGGGCGGGUAGGGAUAAUUGAAUCACUGAUGUUGGAGCUGCUGCUCUGAGAUUCAGACACGGCCUGCCUCGCUUUCUUUCCCUUUUCCUGUGCAGAUUGUUGUAGAUUGUUGUUGUUUUGUUUCCCCCUUCAGCGGUUUAAAAGCGACAGAGAUCUAACAGCGGUUUCCACCAUGGGAAACAUCUGACAUGCAGGAACAAGGAUCACCGUUUGGUAAAUAGCUGCAUGAUAGUGCGAUCUUUCAGGCUGCAGUUCACAAACCACAGGGCACUCGUUAUCCCACUCAGAUCAGUGGGACUACUCUAUUCUAGGACUGUGGUCCUGUGCACACACGGAAUCUGGAUCAAAGGCCAGCAGGAUUUACUUCUAAGGGCACCUCCAAAUAUGCUAUCUGUAGUGCAAGCCAGUUGUUGUUUCACAUGUAGUCACACAUGCAAAAUUCCAAUGCUCCUUCCACAGUGCAGUACAGUAGAUAUAACUCUUUCGGGUCACUUGCAUUGCACCGUGCCCUAUUUGCACUAGUGAAUGGUGUAUACAGUGGACUGUCACUGGGAGGACAACAGUUGACUAAUACUCAUCUUUUUAUUAUGUCUCUAAAAAAACACUUAACAGAAGCACAGACAACUGUCCACAUAAUAUGCUAUCUGUGCCAUGCUGAUCUCAAAAACUGGAUUUUAAAAAAGCUUUUUUCCAUUAAGAAAUGCAAUGUUUUAAAUGUGGGGAACAUACAGGUGGACACUUUUAUGAUGUAUUAACUUCUGCAUUAAGUGGGAGUGAACAAGUGAUUGAGUGAAUAAGUGACAAUCCCAGAUUAAGCAUUUUGCCUGAAAGUGCUUUCUGUAGGUAAGUACGAUGAACUGUAGCCUGAGAUUUAAAUCCCCUUGUUCCAGACAAGACAAUUGUCUUGUCUGGAGAAGAAUGGGACUUAAGAAGUAUGGGACUUCUAAAUUAUAGGCACACUUGUUCAUAACAGCCAAGGCCCUUUGGUUGUUUCUUGCAGGUGGCAAUGGCCUGUUCACCCAUUUGGCUAGUCUGGACAAUACUUUCCAACUAGCCCCACUCCCAUGUGAUUAAGGUGUAGUAUUUGAUGCAAAUAUAGAGGAGUGGCUUGGAUGAACUGCCCCUGUGCAAUUCUUCACACUGUGAGGAUCAGUGUGUUGGGAGAGGGGAAGAUGUGCAUGCUCACGCCUUAAUCACCUUGACAGGAAGCCAGGACUGGCUGCAGCUGCCAUUCUAUGCUCCAUUGGCAAACCCAGAUUUUCUCUGCAUAGCAUAUGAAAUGGUGCUGAGGUUUUUACUCUCUGGAGAUGCAAUGAUGAGUAUUACUGCAUAUGUUAAACUUUCUUUUCAAGUAGCUGUAACAGCUGAGGAACUGCUGGGAGCAAGCCUCUCAGGUGAAAGAAAGAAGGCCUCCUGUCUUCAUAGUAUUAUUUUUUAAAAUGCCCUAAGUAGUACCUUUGGGAAGCUUGAAAACUGGGAAACUCUUGUGAAUAGCCUGUGUUGGGGGAUAUCAUGCAAGGAGUGGAAUGCACACUUUCCAGUAGUGAUUGGGUUGAUUGAUGACCGCUUCACAUAUUCCAUUCAUGGGCAUCUACAAAACAUUUUAUGCGCACCUGUAAAACUGUCCCUGUGAACAUGGAAAUUGCAUAGUGCUCGCUGCAGAUACUGUACAGGUACGUGUAGCAGACAACUGGGACUGGCUACAGCUCCCUGCUGCUUGCCUAAGAUCACUUCACUCUAGAAAUUGCUAGAGAUUUUUGAACUGGGGACUUGGGUCACAGUUGAUGAUGUGACCCUAUCUGCAUACAUUGAAUUCAGCAGACAUGCUUAGGAUGGAGCUAUCAUCAGCUACCUUGAAGAGAGGUCACUGUUUAAAUACUAGUGAUAUUGGGACAUAUCGGACUUUUUAGCCCCAAAAGCACAAUCCAAAAGUUGUUUCAGUUCACUUCCCCACCCCACCUUAUAUCAAGAAUAGUGUAUCAGAUAUAAGGGUCGUGUGUCUAAUAGGGCUGCCUAGGACAAAUACAGAUUUUAUUAAAUAACUCUACCUCUUGAAUAUCCUAAUCUAGGCAUCACAGUUAAAUCUCUAGGUGUCAUGACUCCCUGGCACCUCAGAUUUGUCAAGCCAUGGGGGUAGGGAAUGCAGUGUACAGUCAUACCCCUUUCCAUUUGACAUCCCUCUACAAUUUAAUAGACAAGGAAGGGGGAUGGGUGGUGAUAUUCUGGAAUUCUUGAUGAAUUCUAACAAUUGUUAUGACAAUUACUUGAGCAGCCCAAGCCUUUACUCAGAAGGAAGUGCCAUUGAAUUCAAUGGUGCUUCUAAGUAUGCAUAUGAUAAAACAGAGAUGCUCCACCUUGAUGUUAGAAUUGAACUACAACUUGGCCAAAGGCCAUUGUCACUGGGAAUGAUGGGAAUUAUAAUCCAGGAAGGUCUGGGAACCCAAGUUUGAGAACCCCUGGAAUAAAAGCUUUAGCAUCAAGCUGUUAUUGGAAGGUUUAUAAUGAAGCCAAGUAACCCCUAGCAUUUCUAAUACUAUAAUUUAUAAAUUCUAAUGCUUUGUACAAAAUAAAACAAAACAUGUCAUUUCCCCACACUAUGGUAGUAUUUUGUGUUAACUUCCAACGGUCAAAGAAAUGUGUAGGUGUAUGGUGUUUCCCUUAAGAAAGCAUUUAUAAAAACCCUUUGGAGCUCAGUCAGAAGCAUACAGCUGCAUGCUGUUCAAUAAAUGAGAGAGAGAGAGAGAGAAUACCUUGGAUUCAUUGCAUCCAGAUUUUCCCACGUCUACUUUAUUUUUCUGCAGAAGAGGCUCAGCAUUGCCACCUAGUGUCCUGUUUUCCAUGACUGACUUCAGUUAUUUGCAAGAAUUUGAACUGGAAGUGAAAGCCUCCAGCAACUUACUCCAGAGUAGUUCAAUUGAUGUCUGCAAAUUUACUGUGCACUAACCUGAACAUAUUCCCAGCAUUUCUUCAAAACAUAAAUAUAUAAAGAAUCAAUCAUUCAAGCUACACGUUCAAGAAAACAGAAUACUAUAUAAUUUUAAAAUGCUUCUUUUGCUCUGCUUUGUAAAAUGUAAAAUAAUGCUGAUUUCUGCAAAUACAGUUUUUAGCAUCUCUCAUAAAAUGUACUUUAUAUUGUUGACAUGAUGUUUAUAUUGAAGACAGAAUAUUGAUGUUAUAUGGGGAUUAUAUAUUUGUGUACAAGACUGAGGGAAAGAACUUCUGUUAACCAUCACUCACUAUUUUUCAGAUGAUAGAAGGUGAAAAGAAAAUUUACUAAACAUUUGUUAUCGUUGUCCCUCUCUUUCCCAAGAUUUAUCUGUCUUUAGCACUGACACACAUACACACACACCCCAGUAUUCAGCACAGUUUAAGCAGCGGUGCAAGCAGAAGCAGAGAGACCAAGGAAUUCCAAAAAUACCAAAAAUGCUGUAAAAUUUGGGGAGGCGUACCCCAGUGCCCACUUGUGUGCUUUCACAUUCUGUCACUCUGUCACACUUUUAGGGUCCCACACACACACACACACACACACACACGGACUGAAAGUUAGUUAUGAGGCCUCCUGUGUCACCUUCCCUAUAGUUUAUGAGCAGGUUCCAGAAUGGUGGUGUGCUGGUGAAACAGCAUUAUACUAGUGUAAGGACAUUGUGGGAAGCAAGUUACCUGUGCUGUUUCAGACUAAUUAUUGUGCUAGUGGAAGAUGUUGCCAUACUUCCACUGCAACACAGGGCACUAGCUAGUUGUACAACACAUUGUACAACAUUGUACUCGUAUGCAUCCCGGAAAAGAUUUUUAUUACCUGUUGUACAACAUUGUGGAGUAGUGCAAGCGACAAACCACUUAGAGGCAUGUAUCUUCUCUCAUUUUGCAAGGAUAAACCUAGUCUGCAUGCUUUAAGUUGGUGGUGCUGAUGUUUGCCUGUUCCAUGCUUUCAAUGCCCUCUCAUCGAGUUCUGGCUAGUGCUCUUCAAUUCAGUAAAGCACUAGAUAUUUAAUCCUUGUCUUUCUUUAGUCAGAGAGAGGGAAAGCAGUCUCGAUAUGCUCAGAAAGGCACCUGGAAGGUUUUAUUGUUUUGCAGGGUCUUAACACACAGAUGGGUUGCCUUUUGUGCCCUCCAUAUAUCUUUUCCCGGGGCAGGCACUUCUACUGUUCCUCCCCUCUAUUCAAGAUAUUAACCUCUGCACCACAAAUUACAAAUAGAGACAUUUAACUUCUUAAGCUAAUGAUAUGGGUAAGUUAGUUGAAUUUGCGGCCUGUCCCUAUUUACGGCACUGGGUAAUAAGUGUGAUGAAGUUAAGGGUUGCUGCAUGAGCACAAUUUUAUGAAAUGAGAGAUAUUAUGCUGGUGGUGUGAACAGAAAUAAAACAUUGUGCUUAUGUGAA